UUUUUUUUUUUUUUUUUUGGCCAUGCCUGCAGCAUGUGGAAGCUCCCAGGCUGGGGAUCAAACCUGUGCCACAGCAGUGAGAACACCAGAUCUUUAACCAUGGAGCCACCAGGGAACUCCAUCUCUAAUUUUUUGUUUCGACAAAUUUCAAACCUGCAGCAAAGCUGAAAGAGUAGCUCCAAGCGCCCCAUAUCCCCUCACCCAGACUCACCGAUUGUCAACAUUUUUCCAUAUUUGCCAUCUCUCUGUUACCCUCCAUACAUACAUUAAAAAAAAUGCAACCACAAAUAACAAGUGUUGGUGAGGAUGAGGAGAAAAGGGAACCCCUGUACAUUGUUGGACAGAAUGUAAACUGGUGAAGCCUAUGGAAAACAGAAUGGAAGUCCCUCAAAAACCUAAAAAUAGGGAGUUCCCGUCGUGGCGCAGUGGUUAACGAAUCCGACUAGGAACCAUGAGGUUGCGGGUUCGAUCCCUGGCCUUGCUCAAUUUGUUUCUGCUAAGCCAUGACAGGAGCUCCCCAGAAUAGGAUGACAUUUACAGAAAAGUUGCAAAAGCAGUGCAGAGAACCCUCCAUACCCUGCACCCAAUUCCUAAUUGUCCCCUUGCCGACAUUUUACACUGCAUAGUACUUUGGUCAUAACUAAUGAACAAAUAUUGAUACAUCAUUAUUAACUAAAUUCUGUGUUUUAUUGGAAUUUUGUUAGUUUUUCCCUUAUCUGAUGGACUCCCUUUUAAACUUAAAAAAAUUUAAAAAUAGCUAAGUGGAAGACAAUGGAAAGCCAUGACUCACUUGCCAAACAAGAUUCUAGCUGGAUGCUGUAGGCUGCGGGCUGAUCUAAGCCUGCAGCCUGCUUUCUGUCAAAAAGGGAGCUUCGUAGAUGGCAAAGGUGUUAAAGAUGGAUUAGCACAAAGCUGAGACUCUCUCCCAGGCCAAGUAGGAUGGCAAGACAAUUGCUACAGGAAUAAGACGAUGUUCCCCCGGGAAGGUCAGGCCUGUUUAGUGUGUCCUCCGAAGUCGUCUUGGCCGCUGCCGUCUCCUCCCUGGGAGCCCCACUUGGGGAAUGGCCUGGUCUCCCUGCCACACCUCGGAUGGCUGGAAAUCCCACGUAUGAGGUUGUCACUGUGCAAACCUGGGGCCUCCUCUGCCCUCGAGGUCGGGGCUGAGGGGCUGGUGCCCCCACUGGCUUGGGGCCAUGGACAGUGUCAUUUGUCUUCCCUGCAGUAACUUCCCAGCUGAAUUGCCAGAGCCCGCAGGCAUUUGACAAUGAAGAACAGAGAGUUCUCUUCUGGAGAAUUCCAUCACAUCAUGGUACGUGAGAAGCACCUUGUCUGGAGCCCCAGGCCCGCUUGCCUGCCUUGUCUCUGAGACAUGGUCAUGCCAUGGUCAGUGAGGGGGAGGGGGGAGGUGGCUAAACAGAAACUGCUUUGGCAGCAGCCGUCUCGGUGACAUACUGUCUGACGUUCAUUCCUUUAAAUGCUUCAAAACGGGUUCCACCUUUGACAAGUCAGAGUCAGUGACACUGUUUCCUGAAGCCAAGUCAUCGUUGUCCAAUACUUUGCUUUCCAAUAGAGAUCUGCUGGCCUCAGUUCCACGAGAUCUAAACCCACGACAGAGGAUCUCGGCCAGCUCCCCGGCUCUUAGGAAAUUUCUCUUAGUGAAAAGUCACUGUCGGAUCUGGGUCCCAACACCUGACUCGACGUGAUCAACCUGGAGUGUCUGUGGAAUUUCUGGGUUCACGCCUCAGGGCUGCUCUUCAGUUCUCAGCUGACAGGUUGUAGAACUCUUCGAGUUAGUCCAAGGGGGCAAAUGUGUGGAUGAAAUUUUCUCUGAGUACGUGGUGCAGCGUCCCUAGGGAGGGAUGCUGGUUGGGACAUAGGUAAGAGAUGAAUUCAUUUUCACUUUUCAACAUGAAGCUGUGACAGGUAAGAGCAUCACCCUAAAACUUUGCCUCCCCCCCUUUCCCAGAGGUAAUGACUCAGUGUGGUUUAUAUCCUUCCAGACUAUUUUCCUGGCUUGAUAUGUGUUUCCAUAGCAUUUCAUUUUGUGUGUGUGUCACAAUCAGGAUUAUGCGGAAUGUAUCAUUCUCCCCCCUUUUGCACUCAGAAACCAUCUUCCUUGUUACAUACAGAGGCAGCUCACCCUUUCAAUCCCUGCCUGGGACAGUGUGAUUCUUUCACAGUCUAUUUAACCAACCAUUAUUUGAUGAAUAUCUAUUUCCAAUAUUUCCCAUGACAAAUCAUAUUUUUUUCCAAAGGUGUCUGCCUCCUUAGGAUGUGCAUCAGUGAUGUUAUGGGUGGCAGCCUAUGCUCAUUUCUGGUUUUCAAAGAUCUUGCCAAAUUACCCUUCUAAGUGUAAGUGUGUGUGGGGGGGUUGCGGGCAGGGGUGUCAGUUUCUCUUCUUUGGGGCUGUUUACUCCUGGUUUUUUGUGUGCAGUGGCUGCAGGGUGGCAGGGAGCCAAGGGGCGGCAGGAAGAAAUUCAUCUCUAGGUGUUACAGGCUGGGAGGCACCGCCGCGGGGACCUCUCCAGGGUGGGUGUGAAUGGGAGCUUUGUUCCUGGGUCCAUCCCUGAGCAGAAUCCAGAAGUCCAGACGUGCGGAGGUGACAAACAGAGCCAUGCAUCUAGACCCUGCCCCUGACUGACUCAGAGACACCAUGAAGUUACAGGAUUUCUACACACAUGGGUAAUGGGGUGGGGGGCAAACCCUGCAAUCAUUAGGUUGUUUAAAAAAAAAAAAGGGCAGUAAAAGAGGCUGACAUUAACUGUAAAAACGUAAAGGAAGAAAGCCAAGCUAAUUUGCAUCCUCGCAGAAGCCGGAGGUCCAGAGGGGAUGCUGGGGCUUGCGGGGAACAGGACCAGAGGAAGGGGUGUAUGGAGGAUCAGGUCCUGACAGAGGCGGGGGUGGGGGUCAGAUGGGACGGAGGGAAGCGGGAGGGAAAGGAGGCAGCGUGAGGAGGGGACCGCAAGUGGCACGGUAAGAGGAGCGAGGAGAGGGCCUCGCGGGGAGAGAGAGGCUGCGUCCUGUCU
rnacentral:lncRNA from 1 species